ACCGAGGCGGCAACUGCUGGUCGUUGCACCUGGAUCUGAACCAGGCAAACACAGGUUCGAUUCCUGUCCUCGGCGC
rnacentral:tRNA from 1 species